rnacentral:rRNA from 1 species
AAUCAACGCUGGCGGCGUGCCUAACACAUGCAAGUCGAACGCGAAAGCCCCGCAAGGGGCAAGUAGAGUGGCAAACGGGUGAGUAACACGUGGGUGACCUGCCUUCGAGUGGGGGAUAACGUCCCGAAAGGGACGCUAAUACCGCAUGACAUCCUGCCUUUGGAGAGGUGGAGAUCAAAGCCGGGGAUCGCAAGACCUGGCGCUUGAAGAGGGGCCCGCGCCUGAUUAGCAGUUGGUGGGGUAACGGCUCACCAAGGCGACGAUCAGUAUCCGGCCUGAGAGGGCGGACGGACACACUGGGACUGAGGACACGGCCCAGACUCCUACGGGAGGCAGCAGUGGGGAAUUGUUCGCAAUGGGCGCAAGCCUGACGACGCAACGCCGCGUGGAGGACGAAGAUCUUCGGGUCGUAAACUCCUGUCGAGCGGGACGAACGCUU